rnacentral:rRNA from 1 species
UACGGGGGGGGCAAGCGUUGUUCGGAAUUACUGGGCGUAAAGGGCUCGUAGGUGGCCAACUCAGUCGGACGUGAAAUCCCUCGGCUUAACCGGGGAACUGCGUCCGAUACUGGAUGGCUUGAGAUCGGGAGAGGAGAGUGGAAUUCCUGGUGUAGCGGUGAAAUGCGCAGAUAUCAGGAAGAACACCCGUGGCGAAAGCGGCUCUCUGGAACGGUACUGACGCUGAGACGCGAAAGCGUGGGGAGCGAACAGG